GAAUCAAUUUGCUGGUCGUGCUAUGGUACGUACUGGUCUUAUUGGUUCCUCCUUUCCGAGGAGCCGUGAUGUCAUUAAUUUGAUGUCGCGGGGAAUCAGGACUGUUACUUUGAAAAAUUAGAGUGUUUAAAGCAGGCUAACGCUUGAAUACAUUAGCAUGGAAUAAUGAAAUAGGACGUAUUGAUCCUAUUUUGUUGGUUUCUAGGAUUGACGUAAUGAU
rnacentral:rRNA from 1 species